rnacentral:rRNA from 1 species
GACGAACCGUGCAAACGUUAUUCGGAAUCACUGGGCUUAAAGGGCGCGUAGGCGGGCUCGCCAGUCAGGGGUGAAGGCCCACGGCUCAACCGUGGAAGUGCCUUUGAUACUGCGAGUCUCGAGGGAGGUAGGGGCGUGCGGAACUUCCGGUGGAGCGGUGAAAUGCGUAGAUAUCGGAAGGAACAUCGGUGGCGAAAGCGGCGCGCUGGACCUCUUCUGACGCUGAGGCGCGAAAGCCAGGGGAGCAAACGGG